UUCUUAUCCUUUUUAUUCACUGAUUGUUUUUGUUUCUCUCCACAGGAAUUAGAAGAGAAUAAUUCAACUUUUUUCCCAGAGAAUGAGCUAAUUUGGUUGAGCUUCUUUUCUCAGUCUAUUGUGAGGGUUAUUGAGACUAGUCCAGAUAUCAUCACCCCCUCCGAUCUGCUGUACCUCAUACAAACCAUUGAGCUGGCUGCAGCUGCUCAAACCAAUAAAACAGCUUUCUCUUCAGAAGUCCUCAAGACAAUGGCUACCAACUACCUGAACUUAGCCAGCAGUAUCAUUGAUCCUAUCUUGGUCAGGCAAUGGUUGGAUCUGAAACCACUAGGGAUACACCUUAGACCAUUCAUGAUUGUAGAAAGCAUUGACAAAUUGCUUUGGGCACUGGCGGAUACAAUCUUUUCAGAAAGGAAACCCUUUACAGUUUCAACAAAAAAUAUAGAUGUUCAUAUGGAACCAAAAAAGUUAUCUCAGAUGAGCUGCAGCUGUGUGUAUAAACCUUCAGCACAGACUAACCAUGCCAGCAACCAAGAUGAAAUCCUGAUCCCAGAGACUGAGGCUCAAAGAAUUUACGCCCUUGGUGGAAAUGUCCCUAAAGAUUUCUUGUUUUUCUUUAGACUAAGUUACUAGGAAUUGCUUCAUGCUUUUUAGUACAU
ensembl:lncRNA